GGCCCGGGGUUAUGGGGGGAGCGCUGUGGGGGUGAAGAGUGGUCGCGAUUAGGAGUGCAUCGUAGACAGCAGGCAAGCACAGUGGGUUUGAUCCGGGGUCUUGGCAGCUUGAAGUGUGCUUAGUCCCUGCCUCCCUGGUCUGUUCUGGCCCGUGGGAUGCGCGGAUCAGCCUCCAGCUCGCCUCGAGCCUCCUGCCGGUUCUCUGGGAGAGGGAAGAUGGCCCGUGAGCGCAAGGACGCUCUUGCCUUCUCCUCUCCUCCACAUUUCUCCCCAGAGGGGUCCGCGUGGGCUGUCUUCUCGUUCUCACCUCCCGUUCGCUGUGCAGCCCACUGCAAUCUGGCUUCCACUCCCACCACACCACCAGAUUCCCCUCUCCCUGGUUACCAGGCACCUCCUGAAGCACGGAGCCCCAGACACCCUCCGCUCCGUGGCCCACGCCCACCCGCCUGUCCCCCACCCCCGGCUCUCAUGGGGGCUCCAGGCGGUGAGGGGCAGGGGCGUGGGCUUCUCGCAAGCGCCGCUGGUGCACGGAUGGCCGAGAACAGCAGUGCCAGCCUCACCGGCCGUCUUCUGUGGGGACCCCCUUCUUGGGCUCUUCUGCCUUUGCUCACCCCCCACCCCCGUGCCUAACCUGACCCUGUUCCCCUCACCCAUGCUUCCUCCGCCCAGGUCACCCCCGAAUCAAGCAGGGUUCCCCGGGUCACACUCCCGAGGCGUGUACUGGGACGGAGGGAGGGCUGUGCACGUUGGAAAAGCCGGGCCGUGGGGUCCGAGCACUCGUCCAGGGCGCUGCCGCCUGCAUUGAUGCCCUUGGGGACCUCGUCCACACGCACGGUUGCCAUUGUUGGCGUCUUCCUGGGUUCUGCUGGCUCCUGUGUCUCCCUCCUCCGUCCCCUUGCUGUGCCAGCUCCUUGCCUCCUGCCCCAGCCGUGCCAACUCCCAGGUUCCCACACUGACCGCAGCUGCUCCCCUCCCAGCACUCGCUCUGUCCCUCUCCUCCGCUUUCCCUCCUUUGAGCCCAGAAGCUCUGUCCCUCCUCGUGCACGGUGGGACGCCAUCACUUGCAUCUGGCACAGGUUCCUGUCCCUGACCUUCCCCACUCUUCUGAACCUGAGUUUCUCUGUCUUCCCCGGAAGAGCCGCGGCUGUCCUUCGCACACAGGACCCGACAGAGGGCAGGUGCGCAGCGAGCGUUUCAUGAGUGAGUGAAUGAAUGAGUGAGCGAGGUAGGGGCUGGUCCUACCUCUCAGACUCAGCUCUUGUCAGUCCCCAAGACCCAGCCUGGGUCCCAGCUGCCUCCCUGGGUGUGUGCCCGUGCUGCUGAUGGUGGGUGGCGGAUACCCUGGCUCCAGUAACAGGGACCAGAAAACCGUGGCUGUCACAGGUUCAGGUUUGGCCAGAGCUGGCAGGUGUGGGUCUCAGCCACCUCAGCGGGGGCCCUGAAGCCAUCCCAGGGUGACAGGUGCGCCUCCAGCAUCUCACUCGCAUUCCAGCCUGGAAGAGAAGGACAACAGGACAAACAGUGACUGCCGUGGGUCAGUGUCCUGGAGACCUCCUCUCACAUCCCCCUGCUCAGAGCGCUGCCACGUGCUGGCUUCUGGCUUCAGAGGGGCUGGAGCGCGUAUUUUAGCUGCUCGUAUUUUCACCUCCAAUUUCUGUCACUUCUGGCCCGCGCGGACCUGCCCUUCCCCUCUCCACCGAAAUGUUCCCUCUGCUCCACAUUUCUUUAUAUUUUUUUUAAAGAUUUAUUUAUUUAUUUAUUUGAAAGAGUUACACAGAGAGAGAAAGAGGGGCAGAGAGAGAGAGAAAGAGAGAGAGGUCUUCCAGCCAUUGGUUCACUCCCCAGAUGGCUACAGUGGCUGAGGCUGGGGGCCAGGCUGAAGCCAGGAGCCAGGAACUCCAUCCAGGUCUCUCACAUGAGUGACAGGGUCCCAAGCACUCAGGCUUCCUCCGCUGCCUUCCCAGGUGCAUUAACAGGGAGCUGGAUGGAAGUGGAACAGCCGGGACUCAAACCUGGGCCCACGUGGCAAUGCUGGCAUGGCAGGCAGUGGCUUAACCUACAGGGCCACAGCGCUGGCCCCUAUCUGAUGGAUUUUUAAAAAAUAUUUAUUUAUUUAUUUGAAAUAUUCAGAGUUGGGAGGAGAGACACAUAGAGAUCUCCCAUCUGCCGGUUCAUUCUCCAGAUGGCUACAAGGCCAGGGCUGAGCCAGGCUGAAGCCGGGAGCCAGGAGCUUCAUCCAGGUCUCCCAUGUGGGUGGCAGUGGCUCAAGCACUUGGGCCAUCCUCCACUGUAUUUCCCAGGUGCAUUAGCAGGGAGCUGGAUUGAAAGUGGAGCAGCCAGGACAGGAGCUGGUGCCCACAUGGGAUGUCGGCACCGCAGGCUGUGCCAUAGCGCCGGCGCCCUGAUGGAUUUCAUAAUCCCCGUGCCCAGGUGAGCGUCUGGCAUAGAGUCAUGAUACUGAAUGUUUGGAAAAGCCCUUUAGACCACAGGGAGUUCAAGGUCACUGCUCUCGGGCCUUGGGUCUUGCCUGCUCCUCACAGCCGGAGCUCUUUGACCAGCAGGCCCCUGUGGGGGCAACCAGGAGGAGGAGGGGAGGGGCACACCCUCUCUGCAAGGCCCUGCUGCGAAGCCUCCAUCCCAUCGUCAGAAGGCAGGGGAGGCUGGGCCCGGCCGAGAGCAGGCCGCACAGCUGGGGUGCCCGGUGGGUUCUCCCUCUGAGUGAGACUGAGGAGGAGCCACUGGAGUCCCAUGAGCGGCUGAGGGGAGUCCAGCUGCCCCGGCCACUGGCGAGCUCCGGGAGCCCAGUGAGUCGCCUCGGCUUCCUGAGCCCUGGCCUCCGUCCCCGGCGAGCGGGAACAGCUGCGGCUGACUUGCAGGUGUCAGGUGAAGGGAUGAACUGAGCUGCAGCCCUGGCCCUGCCAGGCAGUCUCUCUGUGGCCUGGCGUCCAGCUCCCCGUGCAGGAGGAGGAGGCGCUCAGAGCCGGGCUGGGUGACGCCUUAGCGAGAAACUGGGGCAGAGAAUCCGGCACUGCACGCACGGCUGGACUUGAGGGUCUGACCCUGAGACUCUGGGGAGAGGCUUCUCUGUUUCAUUUAUUUCAAAGGCAGAGUGACAGAGAGAGAGAGAGAGAGAGAGAGAGAGAGAGAGAGAGAUCUGUAUCCACUGCAUCAGUCUCCAAGUGGCCACAACAGCUGGGGCCAGGCGGAAGUCAAGAGCCUGGGACUCCAUCCGGGUCUCCCACGUGGGUGGCAGGGGCCCAGGUGCUUGGGUCAUCUCCCGCUGCCCUCCCAGGAGCAUUAUUAAAAAGCUGGAUCGGAACCAGAGCGGCCAGCACUGGAACCAGCACUCUGAUGCCUGACGCGUGUGCCCCAGCGCCGGCCCCAACGUGUGUGUUUAUUUAGUCCUUUGCAGUUCUAUCAGAUGGGAACGUCUAUUGGCUUGAAGUGUUUUCCUCCUGUGAGUUUUCGGUUCUGCUUCCAGCUAUGUCUGCUUACGUUUUGUUGAAUGCCAAACCUUGUGUAACAAAAAUAUCGCGUGAGAGUUUGGAUGCUGAUGCGGUGUUCCUCCAGGGAGGGUUUACUUCUGCUUCUGCCAAGCUGUCGCUGAACGGGCAGGCACCUUAACUCAGUGGUGAACGAGCGCUGGGGGUUGGAACUCAGCGGGGGAGGGCUGGAACUCAGCGGGGGUUCGGGUGCCCCCCAAGGCGCCAUGUGUUACAGUGUAACCCCCGUUGCUAAGUAGGUGGACCUUGAUCCGACUGUGGGAUUUGGAAGUGGGAGCUUCAGGAGCCGCUAGGGUUAGUCAGGGUCGUUAGGAUGGAGCCCCGUGGUUGAAUCCUGGUGGCUUUGUGCCCAGAGGGAGCGGGACUCACAGACACAUGCCCGCCUCCUGGCACAUGAGGCCCUGUGCCACCUCGGGCCUCUGCCAGUAAGAUUUUUUUUUUUUUGACAGGCAGAGUGGACAGUGAGAGAGAGACAGAGACAGAGACAGAGACAGAGACAGAGAGAAAGGUCCUCCUUUUCUGUUGGUUCACCCCACAAUGGCCGCCGCGGCCAGCGCACCGCACUGAUCCCAUGGCAGGAGCCAGGUGCUUCUCCUGGCCUCCCAUGUGGGUGUAGGCCCAAGCACUUGGGCCAUCCUCCACUGCACUCCCGGGCCACAGCAGAGAGCUGGCCUGGAAGAGGGGCAACCAGGACAGAAUCCGGCGCCCCGACCGGGACUAGAACCCGGUGUGCCGGCGCCGCAAGUGGAGGAUUAGCCUAGUGAGCCGCGGUGCCGGCCCCAUUAUAGUCUUGAACCGUGGAGCAGUACCAUUUCUAUUUCAUCCUACUUUGAAAGCGCAGCUCUUUGGGGUCCGGUUAAAGCCUGGGACGUCCACCAGAGCCUCGUGCUGGACUUGGGUUCCCAGAUAGAAGCUCUGCAUCUCCCUGCCGUCUGAUUUCUUGAACGUGUUAGCUGGCCGCUCGACUGCCCCGUGGCAGAGUGACACACACAGAGAGAAACAGAAAAAUCUUCCACCUGCUGGUUCAGUCCCCAAAUGGCCACAACAGCCAGGUCUGGACCAGGCUGAAGCCAGGAGCCAGGAACUGCAUCCACGUCUCCCGUACUGGCAGGGGCCCAAACACGUGGGCCGUCUCCUGCUGCCCUCCCAGAAUCUUCUUGGUGAAAAUUCUGCGGCAGAACCGCCCUGCUUCAGCCUUGGCAGCGCUUCGACAUCCAGGAGGGGCCGACUUUGCAAGGAGAAGACGCUUACUUAGGUUCUGCAGGUGCAAAGCUCAAACAGCGUGGGGCAGGCUGUGGCGGGUCUGGUGGCAGGAGCGCCCGCAUCUCUCUGUGUCCCCGUGGUCCCCGUCCCUCCCCUCUGAAGCCACCCGGAUUGAAUCUGGGCCCUACCUCAAUGACCUAGCCCAGUGCAGUCAUUUCCCAAGGCCCAGCCACUCCACGCCGUGACUGGAUGCCGUCUGCUGCCGCCUGGGCCUGUUAACCCGAGACUCUGGGGACCGCACUCCUGCGCUCAGGCCACCCGAGGCCACCUCAGAGACUUUCAUUCGAUUUCCCACGACUUUCCUGAAGGCCCCUCACGGCAGAGGCUAAGGUGCAUUAACAGGGAGCUGGAUCGGAAGUGGAGCAGCCGGGACGCAAACUGGCACUCGUAUGGGAUGUUGACAUCACAGGCAGCGGGUGAACCCACUAUGCCACAAUGCUGGCCCCAAGUGCCCGUUCUUAUUUGCCUGGAGCCCUGGGUCAUGCUGUAUCCGCUUGGCCCCUGUGGGCAGGGACUGGAGACCGAGCGGUCAAGGCUGUCAUUUGGAUGCUCCUUAGUACAAACCCAGACUCCAUGGCUCAGCGCGCAUCCCCGGUGAUGGCUCUCUGCGUGUGACACCAUCGCUGCUGGAAGAACCAAGCGCCGCCCUCAGACUCGGGCGAGGACGCCGGAGGCUCACUCCUGGUCUCUCCUGGCCUCUGCCUCAGCAAAUCUGGACUCGCGCUGGAGGAGACUGGAAGCGGCGCAGGAACGCGGCAGCCACCUCGGGAGACGUCGCGGCUGUCCUGUGGGCAGAGCCCGUGCAGCCACCAGCCUCCUGGUCCUCACGGACUGAAGUCGGUCCUGUUGGGAGCCUGGGAAGCUUUGGGAAAGGCUGGGGAGCCCUGUCCUGCUGUGACCCCCGACCCCUGAUGGGGGGACCAGGCCAACAAGAACAGUGACAAUAUUGACAGAGUAAGCGGACGGGGCCGUUGAGCUCCUGAGAUGGUGUGACAGCGAGGACCCUGCCAGGCAUGGGUGGGGCAGGGGCCGGGCGUGCCAGAGCAGUCCAGGUGGGUGGUGGGGAGGGGAGGGCUUGACACCCACCGGAGCCCUCUCUCUGCCCUACCCCUACCUCCCCAGGAACCCCACAAAAUGCAACACUGGGGGUGCAGGCACACGGCCGGGGCAGAUGGACUCCCAGAGGACAAAUCAGGGACCCAGAUCCCAGAACUGGGGCGCACGGUGGGGAUGGCAUGUUGGAACGAGGUCACCGCCCAGUUGCUGGAACUGGGGCACUUUCCAUGUGGGACUUGCGUGCUGCACACACCCUGGGAAACGAGCCGCGUCCGAGCCUGCGACCGGACAGAACCGGAUCGGGGUGGGGGGCAGUCCAGGGGACCUCCUUUGCCUCCCCACCACCCACCCAGGGCCACCCCCUCCCUGGCGAGAAGACUCUCAGAGUAAACUG